UCAUGCACAUGCAUUGUAUAAGUAUUGUCAAAAGCGACUAUAAUAUAGGUGCAUGUUCAUCAAUUGAAAAAAGGCAUGGAUUUUUAAGAUAAGCUAGAAAUGUUUUGUGCGGCAUAUAUAUCUUGGAUGUUUUGUUUGAUGCAUGUAAAGUUGAUUUAUUCUGGUGAAAUUAGUAGCACUAAGAAAGGUGAAAUUGAAUGUUCACCUGGAUAUGUGGGGCCUAAUUGUAGUAUCCCGUGUCGAUAUCCCAGCUUCGGUCAAGAUUGUCAAUUGAAGUGUUCCUGUGAAGAGUCAGAUUGCCAUGGCGUCACAGGAUGUAAAGAAAUGACAUAGACGUGACUAUAACGAAAGAAGGAAUAACUAUUCGGCAGAGGCGGUGGAGGUAGAUAAUAGAGAGAACCAAAACGUCACCACUAACCCCAUGAUGUGACUACCUACAAAAGAAAGGGUGGGUGCUUUGUAUGUACAUGUAUGCUAUGUAAAGUAGAACUAUAACUUUACGUUUACGAAUUGAUAAUCUAUUUCAUUAUAUUAAAGAGUAUCAUUGCAUUAACUGCUCAUCAAUUGAUAUUGAGUGUAUGUCCUGUUAUACGAUAAUACUUAUAGAUUUCCGAUUUCAAACCAAGUACGAGUAAUUUGAAAAUUGUAAACGAUCGACUUCGUUCGAGAAUCUUUUAAUUCGAUUUUGCGAUAAUGCCAUAUAUUUGAAACAAAAAAUGCAAAUGCAUCCAUGAUAUGUUACAUGUAAUUGUUAGUGGAGGCAUGCCACAUGUCGUACUUAUGUCUACACAUAUUCUACAUGAAUAAAGAAAACUGUCCAACCAGUGAUUAAAUAGUGAUAUUAACCAAUGUGACAUUGAAAUACAAACAAUUAAUCAAAGACAAGUAUAUCGAAAGAUCCUACAGCUUUUCACAAGCAGUAAAACAAUAUCAUUUUAAUACCUUGUUGUUUACCAUUUAUACAUAUACAUAUACCUAUGUACACGUAGGCUCAAUUUCAAAAAAUGCAAGAAAUGGAAUACCAUUUUCAUAAUUCAUAUCCAAAUUUAUAUCAUUUAAUCCUCAAAUCCACUGAUCAAACGUUGAACUCCUUAUUCAUUGGUGUCUAUAAAAGAGAGAGAGAGAGAGAGAGAGAGAGAGAGAGAGAGAGAGAGAGAGAGAGAGAGAGAGAGAGAAUGUGUCCUAAUGACUAACGUAUAAUCGAAACCAAAUCUAAGAAAUAAUUAAGAACCAACUUCCAGUUUUGAGAGUGACUGAAAUGAUAUACAUUAAGACUUUUCCAAUCAACAUGUUGAAUAAAACUGAAAGACAUUUCUCAUAUUUGCAUUUUGAUUAUUUCAUUCGCAGAAGUUAGCCCUCGCAUAGAUCAGGUCAUGUAUAACCACACGCAAUAUUUAUAUUCUAAGACAAAUAUUUUUUAAUGAAUUAUUUUUGGAAAAAUAGCCGCACAGAAAUACUUUUGAACCAUGUAGCAUAGUUCAAAUCAGUGAAAUGGUGCGUAUGCAUAAAUGUAUUAAACAUUCGGUUCAGAUUACUCCCCUUUAAUGCUUACAUGUGAUAAGAAUAAUGGUAAAUUUUGCAAGGUGAAGAUAACGAAGAGUGAUCAAUCUCAUAACUCCUACAAGCAAUACAAAAUAGAUAGUUGGGCAAACACGGACCCCUGGACACACCAGAGGUGGGAUCAUUUGCCUAGGAGGAGUAAGCAUCCCCUGUUGACCGGUCACACCUGCCCUGAGCACCAUAUCCUGAUCAGGUAAACGGAGUUAUCCGCAGUCAAAAUCAGUGUGCCAAGAACGGCUUAACAAUCGGUAUGAAACACGUCAGACAGCAUUUGACCCAAUGCGAGGUUGUAUUGACGAACUAGAUCGUUAUAACGACCAUAGAAUUGCGAAAUGCUGACUUCAAUCGAGACUGUUGAAAUCCCUGUACCAUCAACUUGUUUGUCAGUAGCUUACCUCGAUUUAAAAACUGACUAUACCCAGAACAAUCUCUUGCAUAUCGAAUGAGUUGAGAUAUAUAAACACCAUAUGCAGGUGAUAAUGGAAUAUUGCUACAUAAAUGUGGGAAGUUGACGAUGGAGAAGCUGAAAUCAUCCCGUUUGUCAUACAGUUGAGUUGUUAGUUUCCGUUAAUGUCUACUUUCAAUAAAAUAUCUAAGUAUGAAGCAGAAGUGGACGACUCUGUGGUAUCCUUUAUUUCGAGCUCACAGGGAUAUAUCAAAUGGACAUAUGAAUGAAAGCUAUCAUUGUUAAUAGACAAAACGUCAUCGAUAUAUCUAAAAGUCGAACUGAAGGUCACAGCGAGAUAUUUUUUCUUCUCACGUAGAAGUUUUUGAAUAAAUUCUGCUUCAUAUGAAUGUAAAAACAGGUCAGCUAACAAAGGAGCACAAUUCGUGCCCAUGGGAAUUCCAACAGACUGUUGGAAGACCUGAUCACCAAAGACCAAACAUAUCAACAUGAGUUUCGGUGAUUGAUGGUCUUUAACAAGAAGGCGUUUCAACUUUAUAUCCAAUUCCCCCACCAGUCGUAAAGAAUCCCUCUACAAGUUCAACAACGGAUAAUGAAACAAACUGUCAGAGAGGCUACACUGGCGCUAGAUGCGACCUAUUGUGUCGGUUUCCUAGUUAUGGAGACGGAUGUCAAAUGAACUGCAGCUGUACCGAAAAAUAUUGUAAUCACACGCAUGGAUGUUCAACCAACAUUACAAAUAUUCCGACAGGCUUAGCGACUGACACUAUAAAGACGAGUUCUGUAAAAAUGUUCGGGAUUGCGGUAACAACAUGUUAUGGCUGCACUUACUUUCGUGACAAUAUCUAUGAAUCUAAUAGUCGAACUGUUUUGCUCCAGAGCAUUAAAGUACUAGGAGGUUUAGUGUCUAUCAUCUACAUUAUCUAUGUGUGUACCUUUUUCCUCACACCUUGUAUGAGAUCUGAAAAUCCUCAAAAUGAAACAAUUGUUAUUGAAAUCAACAGUGACCCUGUUUACGAAAAUGAACAUAUCUGAAACGUUUCCUGAUCGUUGUUUAAGAAGAGGAUGGACGAUUUAAAGAACCAGAGCCACGAAUAGCCAAAAAUGGCCCUUAGUCAGAACAUGAUAUUAUUAUCGGGGACAGAAGCCAAGAAUAUCUAUUUUUCAAAUAUGUUCUACUUUUUCCGAUAUAUUUUCAAUUUUUUUAGUUAGUGGCGUUCAAAGUACCCAUUGUUUUGACCAGAUUGCUAUUGACGUCGCAAUUUUGCAACGUAACGUGACAAAUUUACAACGUUUCAUGUAAUUUUACGUGACAGUUCUCUAGGUAUAAAAGUGAAACAAGAACACUAUUCAGUGGAAUUUGAUCAUAUUAUUGUACAUAUUUAAAUCUGUCUAUGUUAAAUCUAUAUUAAAACACACACCUAUAUAGUAUACUCGUACAUCCCUUUCUCCCCUCUCUGUUUGUCUCCUUCCCUCUCUUUAUAUUUUUUAUUUUUUAUUUAUAUGCAACCAUUCAACAAUUUUAAAGUAAUAUUAAUUCAGUACCUCUUUACUUAGCUUUGUUAUUUUAGUAUGACAUGAAGAUAAACCCAAUCCCAAUAUUUUAACUGUAUAACCAUUUAUUGCACAUACCGAUAGUUUUCGGGGGUGGGCAUCUUAAAAUGUACACGAAAACACAGUGGAUCCAACCGUUGACUUACGAAUACGAUCUAUUGACCUACAUGUAUGUACAGAGGCGGAUCCAGGAAUUGUGGUUACGGGGCCGCCACUUUAUGAGGCAGUGGGUCCAGGGCGAAGCCCUAUUGGGGGUUCAGGGGACAAAGCCCCCGGAAGCUCCUGGGUUUUACAGAUUUUAUGGGGCUUAAAAUAGUUCUAUUUAGUCAUUUGUACUAUUUUCUAUCAUUUUAAUAAGGUGAAAUUAAUAAAAUAACUCAAAUUUUAAGGGUUUUUUGGAAAAAAAUUAAGUUCUCCUAAUAAAGUAAUUCAAGACAUCAAAAGAUUUUGUCAUUUAUUUCUCCGGGAGUGGAAGAAAUUAUUGCUUAUUUUAUCGUUUAGUACAUUUUCCGAAACAAGAUACCGCGAUUUACCUUAAAUUUGAAAAUUUUAGGGGGGGGGGGGGGGGGGGGGGCGCCGGCGCCUCCUCUAAAUCCGCCACUGAUGUAUGUGCGUUUCAAUAUUACAUGUAGUUUAUGUUGCAUAUGGAUCACUUCUUUUAAUAAUCUUUUAUAAGUUCGGUUUUUUUAUUUUAUCAUUUGUUUGAGGGGUGUUAUUAUUAUCCCGCAUGUACAUGUAAACACGCCGAAAACAGUAAUAGCCAGGCUUUGGACAGCAGCGUUAUUUCAGACGCACGUUGCUACAUGUACAACUUUGGACAGUGAGGAAACAUGUUAAUGCUAUGUUUCACACUUCUAUUUUGUGUUUUGCUAUAUAGGGAGUUACGUUUAUGAUGUGUGGGGGGAUAGGGGAACUAUUAAAAAAGUAGUCGUACGUGUACAGAAUAACACAUGAACAUUUAGUUUAGCCAAAUGGAGAUACUUUAUUUUACAUUAGGCUAAGAAAAUGUUCACGUGAACUCAUCAUCAGGUAAAAUAUGUUCCAUUUAUCUAAUUUCAUUAGUUUCCUAUCCGGAUCAUUUAUUACAAUAAUAUCUAGACCUGUGUGUAUCUUAAAAUGCCUUAAUUAUUAUCAUUAACUCCAUAAGAUCUAUGAAACUAAUUCAUUAAUUUAAAAAUCUUAUUCUGAUACUGCUACAUAUAAUAGAAUCAAACUUCCUCCUUGCAUAUAUUUGGUUAGAGUGCAACCAAAAUUAUGCGGAUGUUAUUUUCACAUAAAUAGAAACAAGAAUUUUAUCAAUCAAGGGGUUAACUCCAUGGUGAAUUAACGCAUCUGUAGUUUGGCAUCCACCAUAAAAUUUGCUAAUUUUAACACUUUCACAUUUCUUCCUGUCAUUGGGUUUAGUUCUUAUCUUACGUAAAAUGCACGAGGGAAACCUUUUUCCGUUAUCAGACACUUCCUCCAUGUAACAAACACUUAAACUAAAUUAAGUAGGACAGUGUGGUUUCAUAAUGUGUUCAGUUCUUCCUUCUAUAAUACUUAGUAAUAUUUUACUUGAUUAUGUAGGAUAAUAUAUUUUUAAAAAUAAAUACAUCAACUUUUACUUCAGAAACGAGUGUCAUUCAUAUGUUGACCUCUAUUUUAAUCAGUAUUAAUGAUAUCUUCUUUGUUCCAUUUGUCGUUUUUAUUUUGUUAUAAGAUUUGUGGUUUUGAAUAUUUGCUGUUGAGACUGAAUUUUCAAUGAUAAAUUGAAGUGAAACAAUGAAAUAUACAUUAUUUUCGUUAACAUUCUUUUUACAUUAUUUUUUUUCCUUUUCGAAUUAUCCAUUAUUAUUAUCCCUUUUAUUAACUGCCUUGUAUUUUUGCUAAUUAGAUCAAAUGCAAUUCUGUUUGUCAAUGAAUUUCAUUUAAAAGCAAAGCAAAAUCCAUAUUGCUAGAUAUAUAUUUCGGAUUUAUUUCUAUAUAUUGAUUUCUGAGGGAUGAAAUAUGCAAUGGACCGGAAUAGCUGUAUGUCGAAAUAUAACGGUACCCGAUGACGUAUGUCCAAAUCGGUUGACACGUAAACAACCUAACGAAUGUUGUAGAUAGUUAAGAGACCUGUAGCCUACAGUCUAUCAUUUGUAUUUUUAUGUGGACGCCUAAUUUUUGUCUGGUACCCAUACAUUGUACUGUAACUUUAGAAAUCAUUAAACAGUACGGGAUAUGCCAAUAUAUCUUCACAUCUAAGUAGCCUAUCGAGUUAGGCACCCCUCGUCUCUCAAAGUCUUUUUAUGUACCGCGACAGCGAUUUAAACAAGCUUAUCAGUGCCAAGAAAACUGAAUGAACGGAGACGAAACAUGUGAAGCCAGAUAUUUAUUAAAUUCAACGGCCUUCAGAUAAUUAGAAUAUAUAUAGUGUGAUAACGUAUAAAGAAAUUGUGUGGAAGUAAAGGCGCGGCGCAGACAAUUGUAUCUGGAGUUGAUUUGAGAACUUAGCUUCGUAAUUGUUUGAUCAAAUAACUAAAACUGUUAACUAGUGCAAGGUUUUUGUAGCCAUCCCUAACAUGGUUACAUAUAUAUUCAAGUUCAUAAAUUGAACAUAUAAUUUAUUUGAAAUUUUGGGGGCAAAAUCGACUGAUGUACGUAGCCCGAUUCCGACGAUGGCGCGGAUCCGAUUUUAUUUCAAUAAUAUUGUUUGAAAUAAUCAUAUUUUAUUAACUUUGAAUAAUUACUGGUUUUGUAAAAAGACAACGGAACAACCCCCAACUAAAUAUUACGAUUUGUAUUAAAUCUAUAGUUUAGAAAAGUAUUCGGAUUUCGUGAAUGGAAUGUGAAAUUCCGGUUAUUUGCAGAACAUAAAAAGUAAAAAUGCACUUAUCCCCCAGACCUCGAUCCAAACAAACUCUUAACUUCUAUGCAGUAUGUAAUAUACUAAUUUACAAUUCAUUAAUAUUUAUUGGAUGGAGGCCUGGAGGUUAUACAAAUUGUUGGUGCAUAUUGUUGGAUAUUAUCAACUUUUACAAAACUAACACAACAGUUGUGGGUUCUGCAUGUUAUAAUUUCUAUAUGCGUGUCUAAGCUAUUCCAAACCAUGAUGAAAUUUUGGAAUGAAGAUACUUUAUUUUACUAAAAAAUACGGGGCCGUAUUUGGGUAUUCGUGGCUCUUGUUCUUUGAUAUUACCAAAAAUGUAGAUUUUCCAUCUGCAAGUGUACAUUCAAAAUUUACGUUUAAUUGAUAUUAUAAUUAAUGCAACAUUUAUUGUACAGUUCAUGUCUUAAUAAAAGCGUUAUGUUUAGCAAAGAGCAAGG